UACGGAGGGUGCAAGCGUUAUCCGGAUUCACUGGGUUUAAAGGGUGCGUAGGUGGCUUUGUAAGUCAGUGGUGAAAUGCCGCAGCUCAACUGCGGAACUGCCAUUGAUACUGCUUAGCUUGAAUCACGUCGAGGUGGAUGGAAUAUUACAUGUAGCGGUGAAAUGCUUAGAUAUGUAAUAGAACACCGAUUGCGAAGGCAGUUCACUAGGCGUGUAUUGACACUGAGGCACGAAAGCGUGGGGAUCAAACAGG
rnacentral:rRNA from 1 species